rnacentral:rRNA from 1 species
CCUACGGGUGGCUGCAGUGGGGAAUAUUGCACAAUGGGCGCAAGCCUGAUGCAGCCAUGCCGCGUGUGUGAAGAAGGCCUUCGGGUUGUAAAGCACUUUCAGCGGGGAGGAAGGCGGUGAGGUUAAUAACCUCAUCGGUUGACGUUACCCGCAGAAGAAGCACCGGCUAACUCCGUGCCAGCAGCCGCGGUAAUACGGAGGGUGCAAGCGUUAAUCGGAAUUACUGGGCGUAAAGCGCACGCAGGCGGUCUGUCAAGUCGGAUGUGAAAUCCCCGGGCUCAACCUGGGAACUGCAUUCGAAACUGGCAGGCUAGAGUCUUGUAGAGGGGGGUAGAAUUCCAGGUGUAGCGGUGAAAUGCGUAGAGAUCUGGAGGAAUACCGGUGGCGAAGGCGGCCCCCUGGACAAAGACUGACGCUCAGGUGCGAAAGCGUGGGGAGCAAACAGGAGUAGAUACCCCUGUAGUC